rnacentral:rRNA from 1 species
AACGAACGCUGGCGGCAUGCCUAACACAUGCAAGUCGAACGAGAUCUUCGGGUCUAGUGGCGCACGGGUGCGUAACGCGUGGGAAUCUGCCCUUUGGUUCGGAAUAACAGUUGGAAACGACUGCUAAUACCGGAUGAUGACGAAAGUCCAAAGAUUUAUCGCCAGAGGAUGAGCCCGCGUAGGAUUAGCUAGUUGGUGUGGUAAAGGCGCGCCAAGGCGACGAUCCUUAGCUGGUCUGAGAGGAUGAUCAGCCACACUGGGACUGAGACACGGCCGAUACUACUACGGAAGGCAGCAGUGGGGAAUAUUGGACAAUGGGCGAAAGCCUGAUCCAGCACUGCCGCGUGAGUGAUGAAGGCCUUAGGGUUGUAAAGCUCUUUUACCCGGGAUGAUAAUGACAGUACCGGGAGAAUAAGCUCCGGAUAACUCCGUGCCAGCAGCCGCAGUAA